AUACAGAGGGUGCAAGCGUUAAUCGGAAUUACUGGGCGUAAAGCGCGCGUAGGUGGUUUGUUAAGUUGGAUGUGAAAGCCCCGGGCUCAACCUGGGAACUGCAUUCAAAACUGACAAGCUAGAGUAUGGUAGAGGGUGGUGGAAUUUCCUGUGUAGCGGUGAAAUGCGUAGAUAUAGGAAGGAACACCAGUGGCGAAGGCGACCACCUGGACUGAUACUGACACUGAGGUGCGAAAGCGUGGGGAGC
rnacentral:rRNA from 1 species